GAAGUUGACCGGACAAUCGCAGGUCGGGAGUACCGACAUGAGGAAAGUCCGAGCAUCAUAGGGCAGGGUGCCGGUGAAAUGCCGGUGAAGGCGACUUUAAGGAAAGUGCAACAGAAAAGAACCGCCGUGCGUAAAAGCGCGGUAAGGGUGAAAAGGUAGGGUAAGAGCCUACCGGCCCCUUGGUAACAAGGGGCGACACUGUAAACCCCACCCGAUGCAAGUUAGGGAUGCAAGGCUGCCCGCCGUAGUCCCGCUAAAAACGCUUGAGCGACAACAGAGAUGUGCCGCCUAGAUAGAUGAUUGUCGAAAACAGAACUCGGCUUACGGGUCGGCUUCCUUG
rnacentral:RNase_P_RNA from 1 species